CGGAGAUCCCUGGAGCCACCAGCUGCUAGGUCCUCUGUCCCUGAUGUCAUCCCAGCAGCUCAAGGCCAGCCCAGUGCGUGCCCCUCCCAUGUCACUGCUUCCUUAGGCAUCCACACCUGACCACCAGAAUCCCUGCUGGAGACCCAGUUUUGCAAUCAUGUGAUUGGUCUGAAUCAUUGUUUCUGUCACCUGACUUCCCAGCUAGUGUCUGGAGCCCUCGGAACUCCAGUGUAAUCUCUAGGGUGCCCACCAUCAAGAUCCCCCUCCCCCCAGUGGUUUACAUGCAAAAAUAAAAGCCGCAGAAG
rnacentral:lncRNA from 1 species